UACGAAGGGGCUAGCGUUGUUCGGAAUUACUGGGCGUAAAGCGUGCGCAGGCGGCUUCUCAAGUCAGAGGUGAAAGCCCAGAGCUCAACUCUGGAAUGGCCUUUGAGACUAGAGGACUUGGGUACGGGAGAGGUGAGUGGAAUUCCGAGUGUAGAGGUGAAAUUCGUAGAUAUUCGGAAGAACACCAGUGGCGAAGGCGGCUCACUGGCCCGUUACCGACGCUCAGGCGCGACAGCG
rnacentral:rRNA from 1 species